rnacentral:rRNA from 1 species
GUGCCAGCAGCCGCGGUAAUACGGAGGAUCCGAGCGUUAUCCGGAUUUAUUGGGUUUAAAGGGAGCGUAGGCGGAUGUUUAAGUCAGUUGUGAAAGUUUAAGGCUCAACCUUGAAAUUGCAGUUGAUACUGGACGUCUUGAGUGCAUUAAAUGUGGGGGGAAUUCGUGGUGUAGCGGUGAAAUGCUUAGAUAUAAGGAAGAACUCCAAUCACGAAGGCAGCUCACA